UAUUUAUUAUCGCGGCAGUCGCAUUUCGUAUAUUAUACUCGUAUUAUAUUAUUAUAUACAGAUAGGCAGGUAGGUACGCAAUGUUAUUAUACGCAUCUGUGUUUGUUAUAAUUCGCAUUAUAUUAUACCACACCGCCGGUUGCCGGCUGCAGUGUAGUUGUAUAGUUGUUGAUGGCCGUCGGAUUAUCGCAUACUACCGCUCGCCGUCGGUAAAUAAAUCGCAAUCGUCCGCGCAUCGAUAUAAUAUACGCAUACAUUACUAUAGAAAUAUAAUAA